rnacentral:ncRNA from 1 species
AGCCCGAAACGGCAAAAUCGUCGAAAGGCGAUGACGCAAAGCCACGGGUCUAAAGCCGAAAGGCCAUGACCGCCGAGCUGCCGAA